rnacentral:rRNA from 1 species
AUUGAACGCUGGCGGAAUGCUUUACACAUGCAAGUCGAACGAUGAACCUUAGCUUGCUAAGGGGAUUAGUGGCGAACGGGUGAGUAAUAUAUCGGAACGUGCCUUGUAAUGGGGGAUAACUAGUCGAAAGAUUAGCUAAUACCGCAUACGCCCUGAGGGGGAAAGUAGGGGAUCUUCGGACCUUACGUUAUAAGAGCGGCCGAUAUCUGAUUAGCUAGUUGGUGGGGUAAUGGCCUACCAAGGCGACGAUCAGUAGCUGGUCUGAGAGGACGACCAGCCAAAAUUGAAAUGGAACAAGGUCCAAACUCCUAAGGGAGGCAGCAGUGGGGAAUUUUGGACAAUGGGCGCAAGCCUGAUCCAGCCAUUCCGCGUGAGUGAAGAAGGCCUUCGGGUUGUAAAGCUCUUUCGCAAGGGAAGAAAACUUACCAUCGAAUAAAUGGUGAGGCUGACGGUACCUUGAUAAGAAGCACCGGCUAACUACGUG